rnacentral:lncRNA from 1 species
CUGUCCUGUGUGGUGCAGAAUUUACCGAGGAGCUUCCAGUCAGUUUGGUUUAUUCGCGUGCUCAUCACUCCUCCGUGCAUUUGUUCCUUCACGUUAUUAAGUCAUUUUUUUGUUUGUGUUUUUUUUUUUUUUUUUGCUUUUGGUUUUUAGGGCUGUAUUCAGGCUGGGGUCAAAGCAGAGCUGUAGCUGCCGGCCUACACCACAGCCACAGCCACACAGGAUCCAAGCCGCAUCUGCAACCUGCACCACAGCUCACAGCAACGCUGGAUCCUUCACCCACUGAGCAAGGCCAGGCAUGGAGCCGAAUCCUCAAGGAUACAAGUGGGGUUCAUCACCCCUGAGCAUGAUGGGAACUCCCGUUGUUACGCUUUUCAUUCGUUUAUCCUGCCCCCUGUUUGGGAGAGGACGACAGGUGGUGAACGCAUCGUUGGAGGACAGGUAAAAAGAGCGAAUUUCAGCACACACCCUGCCUGGGCCGCGGGCUUUCGCGAUAAAAUAACAAUGAUCACGACAAGGACUGGACCUUGCAAAUCCGGACGUUCACGGCGGGAAACACUGGACGUGCUCAUGGCUCUGAAAAGGCAGCAACCUGACUUGAGUAAUUUCGUUCUCUUGGCUGUUUGGGGGGAGGAGGCUUUCAGGUGCUGCUUAUGACGUGUCUACAGAUCCCUUUUUACAUAAGUCCUUGCCACGAACAUUUGAAAGAAUCUCAAAGCUGCAGAAUAAAGUGAUCAAACGCCGUCAUUAACCUUUUCUUCAGAAAUCUCAUAAUCCCAUCUGGAGAAGACCUCGAGCCUGAAAACACUUAUUUUAUUUACUACAAUUCUUUCUACUCUAGAACCUUCUCCCAAUAUUCCUUUGACUCUUUGCAAACAUACCUGUUUUCUGUAGUUUACCUAAGUGGCACCCGUGGUUCUGCCAUUAGCCUUUGCCCUCCUGUGGUUGGGGGGGGCGCUCAGGGACACC